rnacentral:rRNA from 1 species
CGGCGAGUGACAGGGAUAAGCCCAGCACCGAAGCCUGUGGCCGUUUGGCCCCUAGGCAAUGUGGUGUUCAGGUUAGCUCGCGGGGAUGCUGCUCCACCCUAAGUCCUAUAAUGAGUAAGGUUACUCGGACAUGGCCCACAGAGGGUGAAAGGCCCGUGGGGGUGGAGAGUCAGAUUGGCCAGUAUCUCCCUGAGCAGACCUUGGAGUCGGGUUGUUUGUGAAUGCAGCCCAAAGCGGGUGGUAAACUCCAUCCAAGGCUAAAUACUUGCACGAGUCCGAUAGCGAACAAGUACCGUGAGGGAAAGUUGAAAAGUACUUUGAAGAGAGAGUAAACAGUGCGUGAAACCGCUCAGAGGUAAACGGGUGGAGUUGAACUGCAAGCUCUGAGGAUUCAGCUGGUGAGUUUGGCAUGAGCUUGGUCAUGUGGGUUGUGUGUUCGGGUCUGCUUAGCUGCAGGUCCUCGCCUUUGGUGGGGAUGCGCGUAUCGCUUAUCAAGCGUUGUGCGCCCGUUCUUGUCGGACCUGCUCGCCAGUGCACUUUCUCAGAGUGUUCACCACGACCGGCGUUGUCGUCUGGCUGGUGCGGUUAAACCGGUCUUGUAGGGUCCUUGUGACCUUGCCUGGUCGGGAUGGCAGGUAGCCCGUUGUGUACUUCGGUGUGCUUCGGGUGUAAUAGCCGACUGCAUCGGUUCUGUGCGGUACGUCGGAGACGGCGGCUUGUUGUGCGUGCGGGCGUGCCUGUUGCGCUGGCGGCUCUGGGUCUGGUUGCCUUGUUGCUUGU